AGGUAAUAUAUAUCUAGGUGAAGAUUGUAAUAAAUAAGUGGUAAUAAUCAUGAACAAAGCUCGCUUUGGAUUUUUCUUCAUUCUACUUAUUCUUCUUACUUUUGAGAUGGUGGUACAAACCGAAGGACGAAAGCAUUGUAGGGAAAAGAGUCGUCUGUUUGAAGAGUUGUGUUUCAAUAGUGAAGAUUGCGCUAACACUUGUCGCUAUGAAGGUUUUCAUCUAGGUGGUAAAUGUUGGGGAUUGUUUAGAACCUGCUACUGCAAAAAAAAAUGUCGGUAACAUAAGUUGCUGCUCACACGUACUCCGGAUGGUGUUUCUCUUAUUGUUAUGUUUUAUUUGGUUGAAACAAUAUGAAUUUUAAGUUUUAACCAAUAAAAAUAUAUUGAAAAGUGUGUAUGUGUUGGUAGUACCACUCUUAUACUUCUUCCUUCAAUUGUCUAUUUAGCGAUUUUUCUUUGUCUCAAAAUAAUUGACAUUUUAAAAUAUCAAUAUACUCUGCAUUUAUUAUUUCUCUA